CCUACGGGGCGCAGCAGUAGGGAAUCUUCGGCAAUGGACGAAAGUCUGACCGAGCAACGCCGCGUGAGUGAAGCAUGUUUUCGGAUCGUAAAACUCUGUUGGUAGAGAAGAACGUUGGUGAGAGUGGAAAGCUCAUCAAGUGACGGUAACUACCCAGAAAGGGACGGCUAACUACGUGCCAGCAGCCCCGGUAAUACGUAGGUCCCGCGCGUUGUCCGGAUUUUUUGGGCGUAAAGCGAGCGGCGUUGGUUUAUUAAGUCUGGUGUAAAAGGCAGUGGCGAAACCAUUGUAUGCAUUGGAAACUGGUAGACUUGAGUGCAGGAGAGGAGAGUGGAAUUCCAUGUGUAGCGGUGAAAUGCGUAGAUAUAUGGAGGAACACCGGUGGCGAAGGCGGCUCUCUGGCCUGUAACUGACACUGAGGCCCGAAAGCGUGGGGAGCAAACAGGAUUAGAUACCCGAGUAGUC
rnacentral:rRNA from 1 species